AGAGUUUGAUCCUGGCUCAGAUUGAACGCUGGCGGCAGGCUUAACACAUGCAAGUCGAGCGGAGCGAAGGUGCUUGCACCUUAGCUUAGCGGCGGACGGGUGAGUAAUGCUUAGGAAUCUGCCUAUUAGUGGGGGACAACAUUCCGAAAGGAAUGCUAAUACCGCAUACGCCCUACGGGGGAAAGCAGGGGAUCUUCGGACCUUGCGCUAAUAGAUGAGCCUAAGUCAGAUUAGCUAGUUGGUGGGGUAAAGGCCUACCAAGGCGACGAUCUGUAGCGGGUCUGAGAGGAUGAUCCGCCACACUGGGACUGAGACACGGCCCAGACUCCUACGGGAGGCAGCAGUGGGGAAUAUUGGACAAUGGGCGCAAGCCUGAUCCAGCCAUGCCGCGUGUGUGAAGAAGGCCUUUUGGUUGUAAAGCACUUUAAGCGAGGAGGAGGCUACUUGGAUUAAUACUCUAGGAUAGUGGACGUUACUCGCAGAAUAAGCACCGGCUAACUCUGUGCCAGCAGCCGCGGUAAUA
rnacentral:rRNA from 1 species